ensembl:lncRNA
GGCGGGGGAAGCGCUGCCGCCGCCGGUGCGAGGAGCGAAGUAGAGGCAGGAACUUCUCCUCCGGGAGCUGGGCGCGCCGCGGGGACAAAGUCCUCGGGGGCUGCGGCGCUCCGCACCCGCGGGCAGAUUGCCAACGCUAAGAAAACAGAGACUUCCAGCAAAAAAUUCUUCAGUUCAUGGAGCAACAAGGGCAGUGUUAGGAAUACAUCCCACCCUUGUGCUUCUGCUCCAGGAUGCAGUGAGAAGAAAGGCAUGCAGAGAGCAAAUAAUUAUGCAAGGAGUUUGUGUAACACCAUCUUCAGCACAUCCACUGGGAAAGGGUGCAGUGUGGGAAGCAUUGUGACCCUUCCUGUGCUGCAGUAGGGUUGCUUUUCUCUCCUGACAAACUACUUUAAGGAAAAUUGGUGCUGAAUAAGCAAGUGAACUCCAAUCCUCAACCGAUGCACACCAAGCAGGUGACUUUUAGCACUGAUUAUUAUAUGAUAUUCAAAUGUUUUAAAGAAAAUACGU